AGGCAGAGACUCACUGAUUGAAUAAUAUUCUUUUAUUUUUUAACCUGUUUUAGAAUAUGGUGUUAUUGUAUGGGACAGAUGCACAUAGGAAUAUACAGACUUAUUGGAAAAACUUCAACAAGAAGCAGUCCGUAUAACUACGUGUCAAAGGAUUACAUUUAGAUGUGUCCCUUGGGGAGUGUUGGUUGCCAUUAACUGUGGUGUGAGAUGGUGUGUUCAUAGCAAGGAAUCAUAAGCGCAUUGAAUACCUGUGUUGAUGUGAAAGACAGGCGGUUGAGCUGGGUGGACAAUCGUUCGUUCGUGGUUUGUUUUCUUGCAGACUUUAACUAUCAUUAUUGUCAUUGAGCACAUGAAGAUAGCAAGUCCAGCAACCCCGCCGACUACACCACCAACUAUUUUUCCUAUGAAUUCAACACUGCAAGAAAGUGUUUUGAAAAGCGGUCAUGAACCGUUCUCUAAACUCGACCCAGAAUGAAAAUUAAUUACGGGUUACGUUCUGCAUUACCAGAUUUAAGUAAAUGAUACCUGAAUGUGAGUUGAAUGUAUAAUCUAGUACACAAUAUCUAUAUUUCCAAUGCUUUUACCUUCGAUAUCAUUAUCAAUUAAAGUGACAGCCGUUUU